UUCUUUGCAGGAUUGCACCUGGAGAGUUUUCAGUACUCUACCAGUCUUGGCUACAGGAGGGAGAGUCAAGCAGAGGCAUACCCAUUCCAUUCCUAGCUUGGGCAGUGGCUAGCGAAUGGGAAGUAAUCUGCUACAAGU